ACUUACUGACUGUUAAAUGUGAAGGACAGUACUUAAAGAGACAUUGGGGGUAAAUAAUGAUCAUUUACUGACUUAUCAACACCAUUAAUCUAAGGAGACAUUGGGGGUAAAUAAUGAUCAUUUACUGACUUAUCAACACCACUAAUCUAAGGAGACAUUGGGGGUAAAUAAUGAUCAUUUACUGACUUAUCAACACCACUAAUCUAAGGAGACAUUGGGGGGUAAAUAAUGAUCAUUUACUGACUUAUCAACACCGCUCAUCUAAGGAGACAUUGGGGGUAAAUAAUGAUCAUUUACUGACUUAUCAACACCGCUCAUCUAAGGAGACAUUGGGGGUAAAUAAUGAUCAUUUACUGACUUAUUGACAUCGUUAAUCUAAGGAGACAUUGGGGGGUAAAUAAUGAUCAUUUACUGACUUAUUGACAUCGUUAAUCUAAGGAGACAUUGGGGGGUAAAUAAUGAUCAUUUACUGACUUAUCAACACCGUUAAUCUAAGUAAAUUCAACUGAACAUUUGUGGGGGUAAGCAAUAUGUUUAUUUCAUUUGUUGUUGGUUUCAAUUCUAUCUUCAUACCAACAAACCACCCUGUUUAUAGGACCAGAAAUCAUCAGCAUUAAUUCAUUUUAGUGUAAAAAAAAACAAAAAAUUUUUUUUUUUAAAAA